UAGGGAAUCUUCGGCAAUGGACGAAAGUCUGACCGAGCAACGCCGCGUGAGUGAAGAAGGUUUUCGGAUCGUAAAACUCUGUUGUUAGAGAAGAACAAGGACGUUAGUAACUGAACGUCCCCUGACGGUAUCUAACCAGAAAGCCACGGCUAACUACGUGCCAGCAGCCGCGGUAAUACGUAGGUGGCAAGCGUUGUCCGGAUUUAUUGGGCGUAAAGCGAGCGCAGGCGGUUUCUUAAGUCUGAUGUGAAAGCCCCCGGCUCAACCGGGGAGGGUCAUUGGAAACUGUGAGACUUGAGUGCAGAAGAGGAGAGUGGAAUUCCAUGUGUAGCGGUGAAAUGCGUAGAUAUAUGGAGGAACACCAGGGGCGAAGGCGGCUCUCUGGUCUGUAACUGACGCUGAGGCUCGAAAGCGUGGGGAGCAAACAGG
rnacentral:rRNA from 1 species